UACGAAGGGGGCUAGCGUUGCUCGGAAUCACUGGGCGUAAAGGGUGCGUAGGCGGGGCUUUAAGUCCGGGGUGAAAUCCUGGAGCUCAACUCCAGAACUGCCUUUGAUACUGGGAAUCUCGAGUCCGGGAGAGGUGAGUGGAACUGCGAGUGUAGAGGUGAAAUUCGUAGAUAUUCGCAAGAACACCAGUGGCGAAGGCGGCUCACUGGCCCGGUACUGACGCUGAGGUGCGAAAGCGUGGGGAGCAAACAGG
rnacentral:rRNA from 1 species